rnacentral:rRNA from 1 species
GGUGAGUAACACGUGAGCAAUCUGCCCCUGACUCUGGGAUAAGCGCUGGAAACGGCGUCUAAUACUGGAUAUGAACCGUGGAGGCAUCUUCAACGGUUGGAAAGAUUUUUUGGUCAGGGAUGAGCUCGCGGCCUAUCAGCUUGUUGGUGAGGUAAUGGCUCACCAAGGCGUCGACGGGUAGCCGGCCUGAGAGGGUGACCGGCCACACUGGGACUGAGACACGGCCCAGACUCCUACGGGAGGCAGCAGUGGGGAAUAUUGCACAAUGGGCGCAAGCCUGAUGCAGCAACGCCGCGUGAGGGAUGACGGCCUUCGGGUUGUAAACCUCUUUUAGCAGGGAAGAAGCGAAAGUGACGGUACCUGCAGAAAAAGCGCCGGCUAACUACGUGCCAGCAGCCGCGGUAAUACGUAGGGCGCAAGCGUUAUCCGGAAUUAUUGGGCGUAAAGAGCUCGUAGGCGGUUUGUCGCGUCUGCUGUGAAAUCCCGAGGCUCAACCUCGGGUCUGCAGUGGGUACGGGCAGACUAGAGUGCGGUAGGGGAGAUUGGAAUUCCUGGUGUAGCGGUGGAAUGCGCAGAUAUCAGGAGGAACACCGAUGGCGAAGGCAGAUCUCUGGGCCGUAACUGACGCUGAGGAGCGAAAGGGGUGGGGGAGCAAACAGGCUUAGAUACCCUGGGUAGUCCACCCCGUAAACGUUGGGAACUAGUUGUGGGGUCCAUUCCACGGAUUCCGUGACGCAGCUAACGCAUUAAGUUCCCCGCCUGGGGAGUACGGCCGCAAGGCUAAAACUCAAAGGAAUUGACGGGGACCCGCACAAGCGGCGGAGCAUGCGGAUUAAUUCGAUGCAACGCGAGAAUCUU